AACACGUGGGGAACCUGCCCCAUAGUCUGGGAUACCACUUGGAAACAGGUGCUAAUACCGGAUAAGAAAGCGGAUCGCAUGAUCAGCUUUUAAAAGGCGGCGUAAGCUGUCGCUAUGGGAUGGCCCCGCGGUGCAUUAGCUAGUUGGUAAGGUAAAGGCUUACCAAGGCGAUGAUGCAUAGCCGAGUUGAGAGACUGAUCGGCCACAUUGGGACUGAGACACGGCCCAAACUCCUACGGGAGGCAGCAGAG
rnacentral:rRNA from 1 species